CUGUAGUCGAAAAUGUUGUCUCUCUUGAGUGGAUCCUGAGUACGACGGAGCACGUGAAAUUCCGUCGGAAUCUGGGAGGACCAUCUCCUAAGGCUAAAUACUCUCUAGUGACCGAUAGUGAACCAGUACCGUGAGGGAAAGGUGAAAAGCACCCCGGAAGGGGAGUGAAAUAGAACCUGAAACCGUGUGCUUACAAGUAGUCAGAGCCCGUUAAUGGGUGAUGGCGUGCCUUUUGUAGAAUGAACCGGCGAGUUACGAUUUGAUGCAAGGUUAAGCAGUAAAUAUGGAGCCGUAGCGAAAGCGAGUCUGAAUAGGGCGUUUAGUAUUUGGUCGUAGACCCGAAACCAGGUGAUCUACCCUUGGUCAGGUUGAAGUUCAGGUAACACUGAAUGGAGGACCGAACCGACUUACGUUGAAAAGUGAGCGGAUGAACUGAGGGUAGCGGAGAAAUUCCAAUCGAACCUGGAGAUAGCUGGUUCUCUCCGAAAUAGCUUUAGGGCUAGCCUCAAGUGAUGAUUAUUGGAGGUAGAGCACUGUUUGGACGAGGGGCCCCUCUCGGGUUACCGAAUUCAGACAAACUCCGAAUGCCAAUUAAUUUAACUUGGGAGUCAGAACAUGGGUGAUAAGGUCCGUGUUCGAAAGGGAAACAGCCCAGACCACCAGCUAAGGUCCCAAAAUAUAUGUUAAGUGGAAAAGGAUGUGGCGUUGCCCAGACAACUAGGAUGUUGGCUUAGAAGCAGCCAUCAUUUAAAGAGUGCGUAAUAGCUCACUAGUCGAGUGACACUGCGCCGAAAAUGUACCGGGGCUAAACAUAUUACCGAAGCUGUGGAUUGUCCUUUGGACAAUGGUAGGAGAGCGUUCUAAGGGCGUUGAAGCAUGAUCGUAAGGACAUGUGGAGCGCUUAGAAGUGAGAAUGCCGGUGUGAGUAGCGAAAGACGGGUGAGAAUCCCGUCCACCGAUUGACUAAGGUUUCCAGAGGAAGGCUCGUCCGCUCUGGGUUAGUCGGGUCCUAAGCUGAGGCCGACAGGCGUAGGCGAUGGAUAACAGGUUGAUAUUCCUGUACCACCUAUAAUCGUUUUAAUCGAUGGGGGGACGCAGUAGGAUAGGCGAAGCGUGCGAUUGGAUUGCACGUCUAAGCAGUAAGGCUGAGUAUUAGGCAAAUCCGGUACUCGUUAAGGCUGAGCUGUGAUGGGGAGAAGACAUUGUGUCUUCGAGUCGUUGAUUUCACACUGCCGAGAAAAGCCUCUAGAUAGAAAAUAGGUGCCCGUACCGCAAACCGACACAGGUAGUCAAGAUGAGAAUUCUAAGGUGAGCGAGCGAACUCUCGUUAAGGAACUCGGCAAAAUGACCCCGUAACUUCGGGAGAAGGGGUGCUCUUUAGGGUUAACGCCCAGAAGAGCCGCAGUGAAUAGGCCCAAGCGACUGUUUAUCAAAAACACAGGUCUCUGCUAAACCGUAAGGUGAUGUAUAGGGGCUGACGCCUGCCCGGUGCUGGAAGGUUAAGAGGAGUGGUUAGCUUCUGCGAAGCUACGAAUCGAAGCCCCAGUAAACGGCGGCCGUAACUAUAACGGUCCUAAGGUAGCGAAAUUCCUUGUCGGGUAAGUUCCGACCCGCACGAAAGGCGUAACGAUUUGGGCACUGUCUCAACGAGAGACUCGGUGAAAUCAUAGUACCUGUGAAGAUGCAGGUUACCCGCGACAGGACGGAAAGACCCCGUGGAGCUUUACUGUAGC
rnacentral:rRNA from 1 species